rnacentral:lncRNA from 1 species
CUCUGCACGUGUGAUAUGUUUGCUUGUCACCAAAUACAAGACAAUUUAACAAUCCUAGGCAGUCUGUGACUGGUCAAGCUUCUUUGUAAGCUUCAGAAGAUGCUGCAGAAGUCUCUGGGAAUUCUUGAGUUUUUGAGCUGAAAAUGGAAAUGCAAUCUUGCCUGAGGCUUUCAGUCACAAUGCUACCUAGAAAACAAACAAAAGGACUAUCCAUAGAUACUUAUUAGGUCUUACACCCAGGGUAAAACAGACCCUGAAGAAGAGAGGGAACAGAAGAGGGAGAGAGCACAGAACCCACCACUGGCGAGAAGCUGGGAAAG